AACGAACGCUGGCGGCGCGCCUAACACAUGCAAGUCGAACGAGAAGCUGUAGCAAUACAGUUGUACAGUGGCGAACGGGUGAGGAAUACAUGGGUGACCUACCCUCGAGUGGGGAAUAACCAGCCGAAAGGUUGGCUAAUACCGCGUACGUUUCCCAGUCUGCGGAUUGGGAAGGAAAGCGAUGCCGUGGGUAUCGCGCUCAAGGUUGGGCUCAUGUCCUAUCAGCCGUUGGUGAGGUAACGGCUCACCAAGGCAACGACGGGUAGCUGGUCUGAGAGGACGAUCAGCCACACUGGCACUGCGACACGGGCCAGACUCCUACGGGAGGCAGCAGUGAGGAAUAUUGCGCAAUGGGCGAAAGCCUGACGCAGCGACGCCGCGUGGGGG
rnacentral:rRNA from 1 species